rnacentral:tRNA from 2 species
GGUCGGGUAGCGCAGAGGUAGUCGCACCGUGCUGCCAGUACGGAAGACGUCGGUUCGAAUCCGGCCCCGGCCC